UACAGAGGUGGCAAGCGUUGUUCGGAAUUACUGGGCGUAAAGGGCGCGUAGGCGGUUCGUUAAGUCCUGUGUGAAAUCCCCCGGCUCAACCUGGGAACUGCAUUUGUGACUGCAUGGCUAGAGUACGGUAGAGGGGGAUGGAAUUCCGCGUGUAGCAGGUGAAAUGCGUAGAUAUCAGGAGGAACACCUGCGGUGUAGACGGCUUACUGGGACCAUAACUGACGCUGAGGCACGAAAGCGUGGGUAG
rnacentral:rRNA from 1 species